AUCAUUGCUUCUCCUCUGGGUGCAUUUGAACAUUCGACCUGGUUUGGACUUUUUGGUUUUUUUUUUCCAAAUUUCAAUCUCUAUCAGGAUGACACAUUCAAUCCAUUUGGUGAUGAAGGGACAUCAUUCUCAUAACAUCAAUCUCAAUCCAAUUCCACUGAUAAAAGUUCAAGUCAGGGCGUAAAACGAAAGCAUGCAAAAAGGAUGGAAUGAGUUAUCAUAUCUAAUGCAUGGCAAAUUCGAUAGAGAAGUAGCAGCAAAGCUUGACGGGCUUAAAGAAGUCCUAUCAAAUGAUAGAGAAGUGACUAACAUGCAAGAUCAAUUAAUUGAUCAGUUAAAACAGAUAAGCAAACUAUCUACCUUUCAAUAUUUUAAGGUCACUAAUAUUUUGGCAAGAUCACACGACCUCUAAGAGUGUUUUUCACCAUUAAUGAAGAGGAGAAGAAAGAAUGUGUUCUAAACUUAUUAGAACAUGAGUUUGACUCUUUUAUUAAAA